CUGCAAAUAUUCCUACUGUUUGGAUUUUGUAAUCAUUAUUAUAGGCUAAACAUUCACUAUAAUAAGGCCAUGCACAUGUUCCCAGACCUAGUUCUUUACUUCCGUAGGUCUGGUCUUAGAAACAAUGGUGAUAAUU